AUUGAACGCUGGCGGCAGGCCUAACACAUGCAAGUCGAACGAGUGGCGGACGGGUGAGUAAUGUCUGGGAACCUGCCUGCUGGAGGGGGAUAACUACUGGAAACGGUAGCUAAUACCGCAUACCAUCAGAUGUGCCAAGCUGGGAUUAGCUAGUGGGUGGGGUAACGGCUCACCAAGGCAAAGAUCCCUAGCUGGUCUGAGAGGAUGACCGGCCACACUGGAACGGAGAAACGGUCCAGACUCCUACGGGAGGCAGCAGUGGGGAAUAUUGCACAAUGGGCGCAAGCCGGAGGCAGCCAUGCCGCGUGUAUGAAGAAGGCCUUCGGGUUGUAAAGUACUUUCAGCGGGGAGGCGUUACCCGCAGAAGAAGCACCGGCUAACUCCGUGCCAGCAGCCGCGGUAAUAC
rnacentral:rRNA from 1 species